rnacentral:rRNA from 1 species
UCGCCUGUUUAUCAAAAACAUCGCCGGGAAUGCUUCCGGUCUAUCUGCCCAGUGAGUCUCUUCAACGGCCGCAGUAUCCUAACUGUGCUAAGGUAGCAUAAUAAUUAGCCUCUUAAUUGGAGGCUCGUAUGAAAGAACCGACGAAAAGUGCCCUGUCUCAAUAGUUCUCCGAAAUUACUUAGAGAGUAAAAAAGCUCUCCUACCCUAGCAGGACGACAAGACCCUAUAAAACUUUACUUUCAACCCGUCCCAACCCAACGGCUAAAAAGUUAUACUGGGGCGGUAACCUUUACCCGAAACAAAGAGAAACCCAACAUCUUAAAUGAUAGUAACAAACACUUAUUAGUAAGAAAGAACAAGUUACUUUAGGGAUAACAGCGCAAUAUCUUUUCAGAGCCCUUAUCGACAAAGAUGUUUACGACCUCGAUGUUGAAUUGAAGAACCUUUUUGGAGCAGCCUCUGAAAAAGGAAGUCUGUUCGACUUUUAAUACUUCACAUGAUCUGAGNUUCAAACCGGA